AGAGGAAGUUAAUGGAUUGGGGACUAUGUCAUGAAAUUUCAAGAUUUGAGUAGUUCAAAUCCAAUAGAAGAAAGGAAUCAAUUAGAAGAAGCACUGUUUUCAGGGUGGAUAUGUAAACAAUGAUCAAGGAGGAAGAUGAGGAUGGAAUUUUGGCUUUGCUAAAUACCAUGGAAAAGACCUUGCAAUUGCGCAAUGGAGAUCCUAAUUCUCUUACUAAGCGAACAACUAAAUCUAGAUCAGAAUUUUUCCUUUCUAAAUCAUACCCUAAGAGAAGAGGAGGAUGUUGGCAUAAUUAUUGCUGAUGAGAUGUAAGAAUUCAUUAUCUUUUCCACAGUUAUUUAAUGAUGCAUUUGCUAUUGUACACUAUAUAAGCUGCGUAUUGUUCACGGAUAUUGCGGCAAUCACUGGAAGCGACUGAAGCAUUCUAAAGUUUUGAAUGUGAGCUCACGUGGAAAGUCCAUCAAUGAGAAAGAGUUACCUUGUCAAGUUCCCUGAUUACAUAUUAGCAUAUUGAAGUGGUCUUUUAGGCGGGUUAAGAGAAGCGGAUGAUGUUGGCAUUGUUAUUGGCAAGAAGAGGCAGGCCAAAAGACAGGAAUGUAAAAAGAAAUUACUGUCAAUAAGAGCAAGGUAUGAUGCAACAGAAAAUUCUUUGGUGACAGAUUUUUCUCAACAGAUACGGAUUUUUAAGCGUAGCAGGUUACCUUCAUACGAUUCAUGAGAUGAAAGGACUAAUGACUGUAGCAGGGAAAGAAGCUUACACACUAGUCAUGGGAAAACCAAAUCCUGCAAAACUUGCCAACCUUCUUGAGAGGAAGUUAAUGGAUUGGGGACUAUGUCAUGGAAUUUCAAGAUUUGAAUAGUUCAAAUCCAAUAGAAGAAAGGAGUCAAUUAGAAGAAGCACAGUUUUCCUUCUUUCAAGGCGGAUACGUGGAAGAUUUUGAUCUACAUGGUCAAGAGAUAGAGAUGAGUAAAGGAAUUAUUGCCAAUAAGAUGUGAAGAUUCAACUUUAUGUUCUUUUGUUAAUUCCCUACAUUUGUUAUUUGCGUGUUGUAA